CGGAUUGCAGUCUGAAACUCGAGUGCAUGAAGCUGGAAUCGCUAGUAAUCGCAAAUCAGAAUGUUGCGGUGAAUACGUUCCCGGGUCUUGUACACACCGCCCGUCACACCAUGGGAGUUGGAAAUGCCCGAAGUCAGUGACCCAACCUAAGGGAGGGAGCUGCCGAAGGCAGGUUCGAUGACUGGGGUGAAGUCGUAACAAGGUACC
rnacentral:rRNA from 1 species